AUUGAACGCUGGCGGCAGGCUUAACACAUGCAAGUCGAACGAGUGGCGGACGGGGGAGUAAUGCUUGGGAAUCUCGCUUAUGGAGGGGGAUCACUACGGGAAACUGUAGCUAAUACCGCUUACCAUAGGAUGAGCCCAAGUGGGGUUAGGUAGUUGGUGAGGUAAAGGCUCACCAAGCCGACGAUCUCUAGCUGGUCUGAGAGGAUGACCGGCCACACUGGGACUGAGACAAGGCCCAGACUCCUGCGGGAGGCAGCAGUGGGGAAUGUGGCGCAAUGGGAGCAGCCUGACGCAGCCAUGCCGCGUGAAUGAAGAAGGCCUUCGGGUUGUAGAGUUCUUUCGGUAGCGAGGCGUUAACUACAGAAGAAGCACCGGCUAACUCCGUGCCAGCCGCCGCGGUAAUAC
rnacentral:rRNA from 1 species